rnacentral:rRNA from 1 species
AGCCACAGCCAUAUCAGCCUGCAGCCCAAGAUCAUUUACUCACUGAUGUUAAGCAGGUUUGUGCCCGAUCAGUACCUGAAUGGAAAACCACACGGGAAAACUAGGCUGCUGUUAGAA